CCCGCGUUGGACCGUGUACAAGUCUCCUGGAAUGGAGCGUCAUAGAGGGUGAGAAUCCCGUCUUUGACACGGACUACCAAGGCUUUGUGGUGCGCUCUCAACGAGUCGAGUUGUUUGGGAAUGCAGCUCAAAAUGGGUGGUAAAUUCCAUCUAAAGCUAAAUACAGGCGAGAGACCGAUAGCGAACAAGUACCGUGAGGGAAAGAUGAAAAGAACUUUGGAAAGAGAGUUAAACAGUACGUGAAAUUGCUGAAAGGGAAACGCUGGAAGUCAGUCGCGUUGGCUAGGAAUCAACCUUACUCUUUUGUAAGGCUUACUUCUUAGUUGACGGGCCAACAUCAAUUUUGAUUGCUGGAAAAAGGCUUAGGGAAUGUGGCACCUUCGGGUGUGUUAUAGCCCUGGGUCGUAUACAGUGAUUGGGAUUGAGGAACGCAGCACGCCGUAAGGUUGGGUUUCGACCACACUCGUGCUUCGGAUGUUGGCAUAAUGGCUUUCAUCGACCCGUCUUGAAACACGGACCAAGGAGUCUAACAUGCCUGCGAGUGUUUGAGUGGAAAACUCGAGCGCAUAAUGAAAGUAAUAGUUGAGAUCUCUGUCAUGGAGAGCAUCGACGCCCGGACCUGAUGUUUACUGACGGUUCUGCGGUAGAGCAUGUAUGUUGGGACCCGAAAGAUGGUGAACUAUGCCUGAAUAGGGUGAAGCCAGAGGAAACUCUGGUGGAGGCUCGUAGCGAUUCUGACGUGCAAAUCGAUCGUCAAAU
rnacentral:rRNA from 1 species